UGAGGCUGGAAGACAAAAACACAAAUAGAAUACACAUCUGAGACAGACACAGAUAUAUAUCUUAAGUUUACUUGCUGGAGUAACAAAUGUGCCAAUUAGGCUUUCAGCAUAAUGCUUGUGAGGGUACAGGGACACACACACAGAGAUACACACAUACACACACAGAUACACACAUACACAGACACAAAUACACACACAUACACAGAAAUACACACACACACACAGAAACACACACAGACACACACACAUACACAGAAACAUACACACACACAGAUACAUACACAUACACAAAUACACACACAUACAUAGAAAUACACACACACACAGAAACACACACACACAUACACAGAAACAUACACAGACACAGACACAGACACACACACACACACACACUCAGGGUUCUGCUGCUCACACUGCAUUGGGUUUGCUAUGGGACCCAGUGCCUUCUUCUGGAGCAAGGUGCUCACCUCGAGCCCUGCCUGUGGGAAGGCUACCAUGGAGACUGUCAUUACUGGUGGGUGGGAAAGGCAUAAGCAAUGAAGCCUUAAAGGGAAGGCAACAAAAGACAGAGAAAAGUUCAAAGCUGAAUAGUGAGGAGACAGAACAUGAAAGCGACUUCCUUUGUACCCUGGAUUUACUGAGGGUUAUACGAAGACUUUGUUAGUAUAGACCCUCCUUGGUUCUUUCUGAAAAAGAUAAUCCAGAGGAUCAGGACCAGAAUCAAUAUUCAUCUCUCAGUCUUAACCAUGACAUUUACAUAGCAGCAGCUACUGCUUUUUCUGUGCUGAGGAGGGACUCUGGUGGGAACAAACUUUUCAUAGGACAAUUAAGAAAGACAGAUUGGGGUGUGGGCUGUCAGAGCAAUGUGCAGUUUCUUCUCACAUUUCUAUAGGGAUCCAGUGCUCCCUAUCUGUCUCAGGUCCUUUGAAAUUAAGUUGCAAACAAUUUCAUACUUUAGCUGAAAUCCAUAGAAAGUUCUCAAGCCGGGGCUGGGAAGAUGGCUCAGUGGGUGAAGUGCUUGCUGUGUAAACACAGCAUCUGAGUUUGAAUCUGAGUGUGCAACCGUCAUCACACUGCUAGGGUUGGGGUGGAGUAAACAGUGGGUCCUCCGGCUUCCUGGCCAGCCAGCCUAGCUGAAACAGAUCAGGUUCAGUGAGAUUGUCUCAAAAGAGUGGAGAGGCAAUUGAGGAAGACUUUUCAAAGCCAGCCUCAAUCUGAUUCACACACUCACAGGAGCAAGGCUCAUGUAAAAACACACACAGGCACACUGCACAUAAAAAAGAAAACGCACAAGUAACUUUUACAUGAAAUCAAGCAAUUAUAAGCCAGAGGUGACAUGAAAAGGUACUCUUGUAUUACCAUUGGUCUACAUGGCCAUAAUAUAUCAGAAUGUUUUUCUUUCUAGCUUUUAGCUAUUUUCCAUCACCAUUAAGUAUUUUCUGUGCCACGAAGCAUUCUAAAGCCUUUUAUUGGCUGUCAAGAAUGCCCUUGUAUGAGGUGUAUAAUUUAUUUUGACAAUUUCCUAUUUUUGGAUAUUUAGACUGAAUCAUUUUUUCUCUUACCAUUAAAAUGAGGCUGCAGUGAAUUUUCUUGAACAUAAAUCUGCCCAUCAUUCUGCCUAUUUCUGUGGAAAAUCACCCAAAGGGGAAUCACUGUGUUGACAGCCAUGUGAAGGCUUCUGAGUCAGCCUUACAGACUUCAGAGUCCCUUGUCACUGUGUCAGUCUUCAUGAUGCACGUUUUUAUUGUUGUCUUUCUAUUUUCUCUAUUUUCUUAAUCACCAACCACAAACCAUUCCUUUCAUUAUGUCACACAUUUUCCUAGCAUCCUGCUCAUUACAGUUUUUGAUAUCUGAUGCUUUAACUCACUCUCAGGAUCCCUGGGUAACUACACACUAGGUUAACACCUCCUGGUCAAAGCCACCAAUAGUCCAGUUGUUAACUUUGCUUUGACGACUCAAGUGUGCUAAAAAUAAGGCAAUGCUUCUGGAUUCCCCAGCACUUUGACCCUUGAGAGGACUGUGCAUAGAGACUUCAGAUUUUUUUUUUAAGAAAUGAGGUCACAGAUUGUCAUUGACAACACUGCAACAGAACUCAAUCCUAAACCCCAUUAAAAUAACAAAAACCACUUGCUUUAUCCUGAGAUUUCAUUGACAUUCAAAAAUUGCUAAGAAAAUACAAUUUAAACGAUCUCCACACACACGCAGUGCCAAUGUUUGAGGUAAUGGGUAUGUUUACCAUCUUGAUGUGAUCAUUAUAACAGUGUUCAAAAAUGAUAAUGCCCCUUUCCCCCAAUACUUUAUAUAGUUAUACAUUGUCAAUUUAUAAUUAAGGUAUCUAAAACUAGGCAUACUUGAGGUAGUAUGGGAAGCUAAUACAGUAAAAGCUUUCUAAACUAUACACAUAUAUGAAGGCAACCUAAAUGAAAUCAGCAAGUAAUGGAGGAGACAGAGGACAUUUCUUGUCACCAAAUGAAGCGCCCAGUCCUUGGAUUGCAUUGCAUCUAAUUGAGCUGUUGGCCAAAGAGGUCCCAUGGGCAUCCCCAAACAACCCAGGCUGUUACCAAGACUAUAUGUUGUUUGCUCUUCACAAGCAAUGGUAAGGCCCCACUGCUGAAGACAAGGCCUACUGAGUAUGGAGAGGCUGAGCUGGUGCCUGAACAGAGCCUUUACCUUUAUGUUUUAGUGUCUUUGGUACAGGAAAGUACUCUGCACACUACUGAAAGAAGUAUAACUGCUAAGCCAGCCACAACCCCUUUGCUCUAUAAUGGUGUCCAGCUUGCAAGAUAUGGUAUGGCAGUGGUGGCACAGAGCUUAUGGGAGUGACCAGCCAAUGCCUGAGUAGAUCUAAGGCCCACUUCAAGAGGUGGAAUCCAUACUCAACACGGCUGGGUAAAUAAGAACCUGAGAAUAGAGAGCCCACAGGCCAAGGGAAAAGCCAAAUGCUACUGGUAUCUAGCAGCAAAAAUGCCUCCCGAGGACAUUCUACCUGGGUCUACUCCUGGGUCAGCGUCUUACUCAAUUGUCAUCAGAGAAGCUUCCUCCAGGAACAGACGGGAAUGAUACAGAGACCCACAACCAGACAUUGUGUCAAGACUGAGAGACCUUGGAACACUCAGCCCUCGACAGGAUGUCCCUCCAUCAGAAAACCCCGUGGAAGAGGAAUGAGAGAGUAUACGGUAUGGAGGGGACGAAGGACAUCAAGAAAGUGAGCCCCUGUAAAUCAACAUGGUUAAAACAUACAUGAACUCACAGAGACUGAGGAAGCAUGAGCAGGACCUAUGCUGCCCCUUGCAUGUAUAUCAUGGCUUCUGGUUUAGUAUUUUACUGGGUCCCUGCUGACUGUGCCAACGAGUGGGUUUCUCUUUCCUGUGUUUACUCUUGAGCUCUUUCCUUCUGUUUAUCUUUCCUAAUUUCAAUGUGUUAACUUUUGUGUUAUUUUAUCAUUAAUCCUUAGAAGUCUGUUUGUUUUCUAAUGAGAGACAGAAAGAGAAUGGAUCCAGAAGGGAGGAAAGGUGGGGAAGAACUGGGAGGAGGAGAUGGAGGGGAAACCAUAAUUGGGAUUAUUAUAUGAGAAAAAAGUAUUUUUAAUAAAAGGAUUUUUUCAGAAAAUUCUGUCUUUCUCUGUCGCUGUCUCUCUCUCUCUGUCUGCCUCUCUCUCUCUCUCUCUCUCUCUCUCUCUCUCUCUCUCUCUCUCUGUGUGUGUGUGUGUUGUAAAUAAAUUAUAUUAACAGGUAUAGGCAAAGACAACUACUAAUUGGAAGCCUUCUUAUUUCCUCUUCCCCUUUUCCCUCCCCUUUCUCUCUCCUUUUCUUAAUUUUUUUUUUUUUUGAGAUUGGGUCUCACAUAGUUCAGGCUGGCCUCAAGCUCAAUCUGAGUGUGGCCUUGAACUCCAGAUUCCCCUGCUCCAUAUCUGAAGUACAGUGAACACAGAAUAGCCCACACACUUCCACUCUCUCUCAGUCACCCCCAACUUUGCCUCAUGCUGCUUUCUAAUUUUGUUAAUUCUAAUUUUCCAUGUAUGGUAUUUUGCAUGUAUGUAUGUCUGGUAUUCUGCAUGCAUGCAUGUUUGUCUACCACUUGUAUGCAUGAUGUCUGAUAAGACCAGAAGAAUUCCCUCAUAAAUGUGAGCCACCAUAUGGGUGCUGGGACUCAAACCCAGGUCCUCUGGAAGAGUAGCUUAGUGCUUUUAAACAUCGGGCCAUCUGUCCAGCCCUUCAUGUGCUUCAUGUGCAGGGAAGUACACUGUGUGCUAUUUCUACACUUUAUACAACACUUAAAAAUUUUAGGUCUGCCUAUAACUUUCAUAACUAUUUUGUUUUCUUGUAAAAGUCACUAGUGAUCACUGUAGAAUGCCUAGGCAUUAAGAUGUGCACAGGUGGCUGUCUUUUUCUCAGUCUCUACUUUAAUGAAAGAACUUUUGGUAUUUCACUGCCCAGUUCUUUAAAGUAGGGAUAGAUAUUAAACUUUAAGGUGCCUUUUGAUAUAUAUAGAGAUAAGUAUGUAAUACUUUCUUCUUAUUUAUUCUUCUAGCUUAUUGCAGUACCAUUGAAAACUAACAUUGCAUGCAUUUAGGAAUACAAUGUGAUAACUUGGUGUUCACGUGUGUAAUGGGUUGAUGAUCAGAGUCAGGUUGUCCAAUGCAUCCUUCAUUGCACAUAGUUGUUCUUUCGUGAGUAUAUGUGAGAGCAUUCGAUACUCACUCCCAGGGGAGUUUGAGUACAGAAUGCUAUGGUGUUAACCACAGUCGUCAUGUAUACUAGCGUCCCCAAGCAUGCUCAUAAAUUUGUGCAGCUCAACCAACAAGCUUAAAAGCUCCCUUUUGACUUAUUGACAUGAUAAAAUACAUUGAUACAUUGUUUCUCUUCAUCAAAAUAAAUUAAUUUUACUUAUUUUAUUAAUUUUUAAGUUUGUUUAUAAAGUGAUGGGUUUCAUUAUAACAUUUUUAUAUGUACAUGUCAUUGUUUUGAAAUUACAACAAAAAGGUAAUGGACUUUUUUUAAAUGUAAACUUAAUCUUAAAAAACAUAUGUGUGCAUGUGUCAUGGUGUGUGUGUGUGUGUGUGUGUGUGUGUGUGUGUGUGUGUGUGAACACCUGUGGGAGUGGUUCUUUCCUUUGACCAUAUAGGUCCCAGUGAUUAAACUCAGGUCAUUAGACUUGGCAGCAAGGUCCCUUCCCUGCUGAACCACCUCCCUGGCUUCUACAGUGGAUUUCUUACAGAAUCAGGUUUUCUUAGUUAACUCAGAUGUUCACUGAACACUCACUGGACUUGCUUUUGGGUAAAGAGAACACAGGUAAAAAGUACUUUUUGUAUCUUCAUGGGAUUAAUUUGGCAAGGAAGCUUAGUUGCAGCAAUGCAUUAAACAUGGAAAUGAAAAGCAAGUGAAAAUAUCCUGCAUGGCCCAAGGAGAAAGACGAGCCUUCUCUGUCAGACAGCAUGCCCACAGGCACAGCUUGUUCUGGGGCUGACCGCCAGUACUUCAUUUAGGAUUUCUGUAUCGGUAUUAGGCAGAGGAAUUAGCUUAUAGUAGUCUCUAUUUGCAAUACCCCCCCCUUUUUUUCAGAUUUGGAGGUCUGCAUUAUCUGGUCAUGUUUUAAAAGUGAAAGAUUUCUUCCUAUGUCCACAUGGUUCCAAUGUCAGAACAAUUGGCCUUGGAAGGGUUUUACUAUGUAUUCCAGGCUGUCUGGAACUCAUCAUGACCACCGAACUGGCUUGGACUCAGAGACCCACCUGCCUCAGCCUCCUGAGAGCUGGGAUUAAAGAUGUGCACCAUGGGCUGGAGAGAUGGCUCAGCCGUUAAAGGCUAGGCUCACAACCAAAAAUAAAGAUGUGCACCAUUAAACUGUAGUCUUCUUAUCAGAGUACUCUUCUUGCUUGCCACGUUUAUUACUUUCUUCCUGGUUUUUAGCUUGGUAAACCAUGACACCAUCAUUUCUUCUACUUCAAGCAUAAAUUACCCAGCCCUAGGUAAAGACAUGCAUACACGUUCAAAGCACUGCACAUCUGCAGGCUGGUCACAGAGGGAGCUGGUCCUAAGGGAGGUCCCUGCUCUAGUACUGAGUGCUAACCAUGGUGGGUGUGACACCUAGGAAGGAGGGGGCAUGGGAAAGAAGCAGGCAUGUGUGAGGCUAUUUCAAUAACUCACACAGAGCUGUCUGUACCCAUGCACAUGGGCUGAAUCCAAUUCAGAGCCAUUUUGACGACUAAUCUGAAAGUUUCUCCAAAACUCAAUUUGAAAAUUCUUUCUUCUUCAAAACCUUUUUAAAACUUUAAAAACAUUGGCAUUUACGUUCAGAGCUAAUAUAUAUGAUCUUAAUUCUGUUGUUUGCUUCUAAUCUCCCUGUCUGGUAGUUUGAAAAGAAACAAAUACAGGCUUCCGCCAUCUGUUUUCUGAUCACCAAACCCCUGUGGGCUGUGUUUUGUGCAGGGUGUUUGUAAGAGCAACUGUCCUAAGCACAAAUCCUCCACCACCAACGAGAGGGCUAAGGGGUGAAGUGCAAAGGGGAGAGCUUGGCAGCCAUCUUGGGGGUGGUGAGGCGCAGCUUACCUCAACAGUGCAAGUGAGUCUGGGCAUCUUAGAGCAAGUAAGAGUUCUAAAUAAAGUUUUAAAAGAAAAUUACUCAGAAUGUGCAGUGAGCUCUCCUGUGUUGAUAUGAGCAUGUGAGAAAGGUCAAGAGAGAUGUGACAAGAGCGGAAAGGGAAACAAACACAGGUGUUACCUAAGCAUCGGGUUCUAAUCCUGCCAGGAGAUGCCGGGACAAAAAGUAAACAAGAACGAAGGAAUUGGUGUUUAAGAAACUCAUGCUAUUCAUACUUAAUGCUUCAAUCUACUCACAUUUAACUUUAAAAAGUGUACACAGGCUAGAUCUUGUUAAGCAAGUUCCUACCCAAAUUAAGUUCGUUAGUUCCUUUUAAUAUAUUCAAUUAUUCUCUUUAAAAAAUCCUCAAAUUCUCUGGGAGAAAAAAAAUUACCAACAGACAAAAAAACCCCUUAAAUAUAUUUUUAAAAGGAUUAAAUAUAUGUAAAUUGAGAAAAUUGCAAAGUAUAUUUUGUGUAAUUUAGACUUUGUUUUUGAGAGACAGCGAGAACGGGCUGGCAUGCUCCCGUGCUUUCCUUCCAUCCAUCCUCCCCCGGACUCGGAAUAGCCGUGAGACACAGUGCACACAGCAGGCCCUUACCGAGGAGUGCCACCAGGGUGAGCAGGAUCACGAUAUGCUUCUUUCCUUUUCUCUUAUGGAAAUACAGAAGGAUGCAGAAAACUAGGAUUUCUAGAAUCUGAAAAUUAAAAAGAUUAAAGAAAAAGAGUAAGUCUCUCUACACAGUCUACAAGAUACCCCGAGUAUGUGCUUGAAUUCGCUGUGGUUCUCAUGAGGGCUGGGGUGACUGAGGUUCCCAGGGCCAACUAUAAGUGCAGGGCAGGGUCAGGACCCUCAGUCACCCAAAGCGCUUGAAUACCACCUACCCAUGAGUGACAACAAGCCCAGCUCUCCAACCCUGGCUCCCUGCCACUCCAUCUCACUUGUCCAACUGUUUCCUGUUCAUGUAUGUGCUGAGCAGACAUGCUGUGUUAGGUUGGCCAAGCUUCCUGUAGCCAUGCCCCAGCGCAGAGGCUCCCAGCUCCUUCCUCCUUUGCCCUCUGCCAGCCUCCUUGCAUGGCUGCAGUCAUCUUCUAUUUUGUCUGAGUAUCCUUGCCUUUCAAAACUUCUACCACUUGGCAGCUGUGGGCAUUUGAAUAGGAAUGGCCCCAUAGAUUCAUGUGCUAGAAUGCUGGCACACAGAGAGUAGACUGUGAGGAGGUGUGGCCUUGUUGGGGGAAGUGUGUCACUGUGGAGGUGGGCUUUGAGGUCUCCUAUGCUCCAGCCAGGCCUAGAGUGGCACACAGCCCCCUUCUCCUGCCUGUGGAUCAGGACAUAGAAUUUUCAGCACUUUUUCCGGUAUGAUGUCUGCCUAUGUGCCACCAUGUUUUCCCAGCAUGAUGAUAACGGAUUAAACCUCUGAAACUAUAAGCUAACUCUAAUUAAAUGUUUUCUUUUAUAACACUUUCCAUGGUCAUGAUGCCUCUUCACAGUAAUAAAAUCCCACUAAGAGAGCAGCCCAGAAGAAUUUAUUUACCUAUAAAGAACAUGUAGGGAAGUGGGUAGAAAUCAUAUCACAUUAUGAGAACUAAGUAAAUCAGACUCAGAGGAAAGAAACAAGUCUGCACGAGAUUCAUCCAAAUUGAUUCAGGGAGUGAAAAUAUAAAUUAGAACCAGCCAUUCUUUUGCAUGGAUUUCUUAUGGCUUUCUAUCCUUUGUACGUUACAAACCACAUUUCUCCUGGGUAUGUUUAGCUUCUGCUGUAGACCUCACAGAUGGCCCACUGUGUGCCAACAAUGAUAGCCGUGUUCUCUCCUGCUCUUCCCCACUCUCUCACAGUUCUGCUUCUAUCGUUCCCUGGAGUUCUUCGCUCUUCUCAGACAGCUCUGUGCUUUGCCCAGAAUGUCGCUUCAGCAAUCUGGACAGAGCUGCCUUUGUGACCUUCGGGCGUUCCAGUCUCCUUCCACCUUUAAUAGGAAGGCCUUAGGGCUGGGGAGAUGGCUCAGUGGUUAAGAGCACUGGUUAUUCUUCCAGAGGUCCUGAGUUCAAUUCCCAGCACCCACAUGGGUGGCUCAUGGCCAUCUGUAAAGGGAUCUGGUGCCCUCUUCUGGCCUGCAGGUGCACAUGCAGCAGAGCACUCACAAAUAAAAAGACAAACAAAAAUGCAAGAGGUUAAAAAAGAUUUUUAAAAAGUUUAAAAAACAAAUUAACAAAACCCCAAAAUAAAUAAAACAAAAACCCAGUAAGGCCUUUUUAGCCCAGUGUCCCUCAGUGCAGGGAUCUGGCUUUCACCUAAUCGUUACCAGGAGAUGGAGGGCCCUUUCCCAUGGCCUAGAGCAUGGAACAUUUGCUUCCAUGCCUGCUCUAAAUUUUGGUGAGGUAAAAUAUAGAUAGGUAUAGCCAGUUCUAAAAAUCAUAUAGAUUCUUUUCCUCCUCAGAUUCUAAAUCUGUGGCUUCAGAACAAAUAAAACAUGAGUUUUCAUUAUUCACAGGAUGAUUAUAGUGGCACUGGUUCUGCCUUUGUGUCACGAGGUCACACAGUUCUCAGGGAAAAGUAUUCAAGUAGUAUGAACGAUAUCUAUCCAUUUAUACACUUUUCUCAGAAAUGCUAGCUGCCAGUGGCUUUAUGGGUUCCAGAAUUUCCACUAAGAAGCCUUGUUGCUGACUGAACCUGUGAACCCAGUGUGCACCACACUUGGGUUCUCCUUACACCGACUCACCUGUCCUUCCAUGCUCAGGAGGCAGGUACUGUGAUUAUCUUCAUUUCAUGGGUGAAGAAACUGAGGCUUGUCAUACAUGUAGGACAUGUUAAAGAUACCACCUUUGGCAUGCAGAAUAACGCUGCCCAGCCUGAGGCCCAGGUUCUAAAUCCCCAGAAUGUUUGUUUACAUUAUGGCAUAUGCCACUGGGGUUUUACAGCUGAGGCUAAGGCUAGGGGCCUGAAGUCUGAGGUGACCCUGGAUGCUUCAAGCAGAAGCCCUGCAAACAGAAGCCACUGUAUCAGAAAGGCUGGGCAAGCCUGUGCCGAGCACUGCUGAAGACCUGCAGGAGCUGGGAAAUGACAGGUUCCUUUCUGGAGGCCUGGGCAAGUAAUGUGGUGGAAAUCAUAGAAAAGUGAUUCAGGUUUUAAUUCUUGAAGUCCUUUCCAAGAAAUCAUCUUUGAGAUAAAUUAUCUGAAUUGGUUUUGGAAUUUUGUUUCACUUCUUUUUCUUUUCUUCCCUCUCAUUCUCUGUCCUCUCUCUUCUCCUUCCCCCUCUCUGUUUUUUGAGACAACCAUGGUUAGCCUGGCCUACAACUCAUUUUGUAGCCCAGAGACCCACCUGCCACUGCCUCCACAGUGCUGGGAUUAAAGGUGUGCACCACACCAAGCACUCAGGGGUUUCUCGACUGCUUCUUGAAUCUAAUUAGAAUUUUAUGGUACUAGUUGUCCCAUUUCGGUGCUAAAGGAGUCAAUGGUAGUCUAAACAGGUGAAUUUCACUAAUUUGAGUCUGAGUCCAUUUCUUCUUUGUGUGUGGCGUAUACAUACAUGUGUGUUUGUGUGUGCACUCAUGUGUGUGUGCAUGUGUUAUGUGUGCACAUUGAUACGCAUGUACAUGUGUGUAUGUUGUGUAUGUGUGCACAUGUGUGCACAUGUGUGUGUUUGCACGUGCAUGUGUGUGCAUGCUUAUACAUGUGUGCAUGUUUGCGCUUGAAUGUGAGUGUGUGUGGAAGUCAGAUGGAAUUACAGGGGUUUGUGUAUUCACCUGAAGUGGGUGCUAGGAACUGAAGUCCUUUGCAAGAGCAGUAUGUGCUUAAAACCACUGAGCCAUCUUUCCAGCUCCAACCUUUUCCUUUUUUUCUGUCAUCCAGAUGACUUCUUUGUCUAACAGAAAUAGGCUCUGUCAAAGUCCUCUGUGGGUAGAUUUGACCCUUGGUAGUCAAUUUACUGAUCCUGCAUAGGCAGUUUAGUGACAUGUUCGACUGUGCUCUCCAGAGAAAGGCAGCCUUGCUUGGAGGUCUGACUCUCUGAAUUUGAAUUCAUUGACUUUGGCCAAGCUAUUGGACCUCUCGCUAGUCCCCAGUGUCGUCUUCUGGGAGGUGAAGAAGACAACAUGCCCAUGCACAGGACUGCUGCAAGGUGAAGUGUAGCAUGAGACCAGAGCUGUGCACAGGCCUUGCCUGCUGUCAGAGUGGUCUACUACUCAUGUCCUGCUGCAGGCACCGUGCUGUUUUCAUCCAGACAACAGAGCAACGGGAUCUCAUGCAAGAGCUGUUUAGCAGAAACCCAGUUUUCUUCCUCUGGGGUCACAGCACCAGGUGGUGGGUGUUCAAUCAGCUUUGUCAGAACUGCAGACUUAAUAACCACCAUUGGAGCCCAGAUUUACUCCAAAUGACAAGUUUGGCCCCUGCUGCUGCUUAUUUGAGGAGAGAAAAUGAGCACUGUAUAGAUUACCAUGGGAAGGAUUUUAUGUUCAGAACAGAGGUUUCAAUUUGAGUAGUUUAUUGGAAAGUCUGCGUGGGCAAAACAGCCACCGCCAAGCCUGCCAAAGAGUAUGAUGUAAUUGAGGCUUAGGGCUGUACUUCCUAGGAGGGCUACAAAGAACACCUUAACAGGUGGAUUGGUCAAGGAAUGGUUCUACAGCUCCUUGGCCGAAGAGGACAUAUGGACUAAGGAAAGCAAACCCUCUCCUUCCUUAGGGAUGCUAGCUGUUAGCCCACUUACACACAUGACGGAUCCCUCAGGGGACAUGUUCUGUAUCUUUACAAAUUACUCUGAACUUGAGACUCCAUUGAGCCUUGACUUUUGAGGUUUUGCUGAAGAGAAAUACUCCUCUUAGCAGAGGAGCCUGGUAAAGUUGGGCCAGUGGUGAGCAGAGACACCACUGCUCACCUGCUCACAGUGACACCAGACUUCUCAAAUCCCUUUUCUGCACAAGGGCAUCAAGCAGGGGGAAGGCUCCUGGCCUUGUGACAAGGCCUCCACUUUCACAGAGAGCUGGAAAUAACACAGUCACCUAUAGUCCAUGGAAACACAUAAGUGAGAGCUGAGAUGCUCUGUGUAACCUUACAAUUCCUUGGAGGUAAGUGAAAAACUGAUCAAGACUUUUGAAUAUUUUUAUUAAUUUGAUAUGUGAUUCUGAUCAGUCCUGAAAAGCAAUUCAGAUGCUGUAUUUAUACUUGGUGUAAUACAGAAACAUACGAAUGACUUAUUAGUCAUUCAUUAGCCAUUAGGCAAAUUAGUCUUUUGGGAUUAGUGUUGACAUAGGAUCUUGCUACGUUUCCCAGCGUGGCCCUGAACAUAUGAUCCUUCUUCCUAGACUUCCCAAGUGGCUUUGAUUACACUCACGUGCCACCACACCUAGCUCACAAAAUAGUCUUAAUGUAAUUAUGAACUUUGUAAAAACAAAACACCAAAUUCAAUAAAGCUCCCACCUAAUCUACCGCAUCUGAAAAUUAAACAUUGGCUAUUAAGAUAUUCAACAUAUUUAAUCCAAAAUUCAGCUUGAAGGUGUUAGCAUAGAACUGAUCACUCCCAUAGUUCUUAGAGAUGCAGUUACAAAAUGGAUUAGAUUCCAAUCUAGAAUGAAAGUCCCCUAACGGUAAAAGUGCUGCUCAAUUGUAAUUAUUAUUAAAGAAUUAUUUUUUGCUAUCUUACAAAUACCUGGAUGUAGUUAAACUUUUCUGUGUGGAAUUUAUUUUAAAUAGACUUCAUUAAUAUAAUAUGGCUUUUAGAAGUAGAGGUCUCUUCUAGGAUUAUAAAGUUUUGUCUAUAAGAAUUUCUCUCUAUUACCCAGGUUACAAUACGUACUGUACUAUACUAUACUAUGCUAUGCUAUGCUAUACUAUGCUAUACUAUACUAUGCUGUGCUAUACUAUGCUAUACUAUACUAUGCUAUGCUAUACUAUGCUAUACUAUACUAUGCUGUGCUAUACUAUGCUAUACUAUACUAUGCUAUGCUAUACUAUGCUAUGCUAUGCUAUACUAUACUAUGCUAUGCUAUGCUAUAUACUAUGCUAUACUCUGCUAUGCUAUGCUAUGCUAUACUAUGUUAUGCUAUGAUAUGCUAUACAGUAUGUUGAAUGAGUGAGUAUAACUGAAUGUAAGAGCUAGCUUUGAGGCCAUCUAGCUGUGAGGGUUGUGGUGAGAGUGUGACUAGGAGGAGUUGGGGAAGACAGGGAGUUGUAGUCAAUUGUAUACAUGUAUGCAAGUCUAAAAGAUUAAAAAUAUUAUAUUAAAAACUAGCCUUAGAAAAUAGCAAAAUGUAAUUAAAUUUACAGCAUUUUUAUUCAUCUCCAGGUUUAACAAAUGGUUUGUGGGCAGGGCCUCCAUCUCAGUAUUAGUAAAUUACCUACAGUGUGUACAUGCUCUGGUUUCAAUCUCUAGUACCAUGAAGGGGGGAAAAAGAAAAGCGAACAUUUAAAAAGUCAGUUUUGUCUGCUUUAGAUGUAUUUUCUGGUACUAAAAGCAAUACAAGAUAUGUCAUCACUAAACCAUGCAGUUAUUCCAGGAAAGAAGGCUUGAUGCAUCUUUAAUCUCCAGAGCAUCUGACUCAGGCUAUUCAUUUUCUGGUCACAGGCUGUGUCACUCUUUUGUUACUGGAUGAAGCAUUUGUUUUGCCUGUAGGCUAAAAGUUAUAAUGUGUUGGUCGGAUUUCAAGCCUGCACUACCAUGACACACUCAAUAAUGUGUGAGGAGCAGGAGAGAACCAGAGAUUAAAGCUCCUUCUAGUGUUUAGAGUUGAUUAAUGAAAGCUGUGGUAGUUAAAUGACUGUGGUGAUGGACGCACAGAAAAAUAAAUAGGGCAGAGUGAAGGGACAGACUCUGAAGGCCCUGGAAAGGACAACUUGAGUUGGGAAGCUCAACGCCCAGAACUGAGGCACGGGCAGGGGCUAAGGAGGCAUUGCGAAGUGACAGGGUAGAAACCAUGGCUAUCAACAUAUCAGAAACACGUGCUUCUUUAGGAGGUCAUCGAGUGAUGGGCUGUCCGAUUGACUGAUGAACCAAUAACUCUCCUGUUACAGGGCGUUGUUGGAAUAGAGGACAGAUAAAUAAAUAAUAAAGUCAUAAUGUGACCUGUAAAAAGUACAGGGAAUGGAGAAACUAGCUCUGUAAUAUUUCCACAGAAGAGGCUGCAUCCAAAUUGCAUUCAUGAGGGUAAGUUUGUAGGGAGCAGGAGGGGUUAUAGGUCAGAGGAGGCAAAGCACUUUCUUGGCAGAGGAACCACAGGCACAAUGGAACCAGGUAGUCAUAUGGGUGUAAGGAUGAUGGCUGCAGCUGAGGUGAUGGCUGCAGCUGAGGUGAUGGCUGCAGCUGUGGUGAGGCCUGCAGCUGUGGUGAAGCCUGCAGCUGAGGUGAUGGCUGCAGCUGUGGUGAGGUACUGAUGAGGAUCAGCAGGGGACACUGUGCUAUUUAAGGCACUGCUGGCACAGCUAUAGAAAUAGAUGGUGACAGCUUGGAUUAACGCAAUGGCAAUGGGAAAAUAAAAUAGGGGUCAAGGGCAAGAGACUUUAUAACAUGGAAGGAUGGAGAUUGAGGAACCAAGCUGUGAGAGGUGUCAGGUGUAGCUCGGGUUUCCAACAAGGCAGACUGACACACAAAAAAGAUGAGAGGGUUUGGAGGCAAAAUACUGGGUUCAGAUUCUAAUAUUCACACUUGAGGAAGCUAUGGAAUGUUCCUGAAGCAAUGAGUAAUGAAUGAACAGGGAGUGAAUGCAGAGGAGUCAGGAGACCUGGGCAGGAGAGCUGGGUGUGGACUGCAGGGAGGGGCUGUGUGAACAUGGCCUCUGUGCUGGCUAGGUGUUCGCUUGCCUGUUUGUUCUUAAAUCAACUUGGUACAAACUAGAGUUGUGUGGGAGGGACCCUCAGUUGAGGAGUCUGGUCCAUCACAUUGGCUUAGGGGCAGGACUGUGGAGGCCCUUGCUUAAUUAAUGAUUGAUGGGAGUGACUCAAGCCAGUGUAGCAGUUGCACCCCUGGGCAGUGAUCUGCAUUGUGUAAGAAAGUAAACUGAGAGCAAAUGGUAAGCGAACAGUACGCAGGUUCCUCUGCUCCUCCAUGUUCCCUCUUCAUUUCCUAUCCAAGGGAAUCUCUCACCUGGAAUCCCUCUGCAAACUGUAAGCCAAGCAACCCUCUCCUCCACACUCGCUUUUAGUCCUGGUGUUUAUCACAGCAGCAGAAAAUAGAAAGAAAUGUAAAAUAUACUGAGAGGUGAUGAAGAGAGGCACUCCGGAUGGGCAUGAGGAAGACGCUGUUCAUGAAUUCUCUCUCUCUCCCUCUCCCCUUCUUUUCUCCCUUCCUCCUUCUGUUCUUUCUCAGCAAUAUAUGGAGGGAGAUAUGCUAGAUGUAAUGAGAAAGGGGUGCAUGGGAGCUAGAAAGUGGGUGACUUGGAAGGCUACAGGAUGGUUAAUGGUGUGUAGUAUAUGAAUACUUAAAAAAACACAGAAAUUAACUACUUUCCUAUGGCAUCAGAGAAGGAAUAAAGAGGACACAGUAGAGAAUAUUUAUAGAUAUUUGUGUUCCAGGGGUCAGGAUUAUGUCAGAGAUAGUGAGACAGAGAACUCUUGUCAUGUAGAUGGCUGAGUUACACUUAGGUGCAAAGUUCGCCUGUAAAACCCGUAAACACCCACACCAUGUUUUUACUACUAAGUCUGUAGAGUAGGGUAAUUUUUUUUUUUAGAGCAGAGGACUAUCAGGUACCUUUCUGAGGUCACUUCUAAUUCUAAGAAGCUCCAGAAUUAGUACAAGUCUCUAGGCUGGAUUCUUUAUUAUCAAAUUUACAAGAUUUUUGCCAAACUAAUAUUUAGGUAAAUACUCAGGUAGAAAAUUCCAGUUUUUCCUACUACUUGCCCUUUCUAUAAUGUUCUUUUUCUCCAGUCUUAGCUGUGUUCUGCAGCAAGUCACAUAUCUACUGUUUUGAUCCAAUUUUUUCUUUAGACUUACCAGAUGCAGCUAGUGCAUCCAAUAAGCAUCUCAAUUAAUGUCUCCAGAUUCUUACUACACCAGCUCCUCCUCCUCCCUCCCUCCUGUCCCCACCUCCCCCACAUCCCUUGGGACUGCACACUGCUCUCGCUUUGACCUCAUGAGGACUUUUUGGGAAGAUGCUUCAACAGUGACUUGAUGUCUCACAUCCUUCAAUACUGAUCGCGUACACUUUAGUAAAUCACUGUGUGGAGAAGAAAGGGUUGCAUGGGUUUCCUAACACUGUAGCUACCAACAGUCUAGAGAAUAUGCUUUAGAAACAGUAAAAUAUUUAGAACUCUUACCAUAUAGACCAGGAACUGCCAGCCAACAAAGUAAUACUGUAUUGUUCUUGCUGAGAUAGCCUGGGUGAUGUUUGGAGCAAAAUUCACCAAUAAAUAUGUUCCUGCAAAUGCUAGUGUCAUACCUUUGAAUAAAAAAGAAAAGACAAGCCAAAAUUUAAAAAAAAAAUUAAAGUUUUCCUUUUUCUUCUUUCCAGUUGGGACAGGGUCUUGCUAUAUAGUCUUAGCUGAUUUGGACCUCAUUCUUAAAUACAGGCUGGCCUUGAACUUCUCCUGACUCAGUCUCCUAAAUACUGUGAUUACAGGUUUGCAUUAUCAGCAUGGGUACCUUAAAGCUUUUCUUGGUACAAGAAUCAUCUAGAAGGAUAUGUUAUUUGUUAAAAUGUGGGCAGUUCUCCCCUCCCCCUGCCCCCAAGUGGUCCCAUUAAAACACAAGUCACCAAACUGUCUCUAAAGAGUACCACAUCCUUAAAGGAGAAUAAAGUCCAGGGAGUGGACAGAGCAUGACAUAACUUCAGACUUUCUCUGUUGUUCCAGGUGAAUCAGUCCUAUCUUCAGGGAAGUUUCCCCCAAAGACAGGAGGGUCAGAACAUGCACACAUGGAGAGGUAAGGGUACAGUCAGACUGUUUCCACACCGUGAUGUUCACAGCAGAUCUACAUAGAUCUAGGUCCAUCUCUAGUAGACAGAUGUGCCGGGACUAGAGGGCAGGGAAGCCCACCUUAUGAUGGCCUGCUCUCUACUCACUCCUUCCUGGAGCCUGUGACCUUGGGCAAUGGGCACUUUAACUGCUGUCACUGACGGCAGUCCUCCCAGGAGUAACUCUGCUGAGAAGGACCUCCUCAUUGCAGAGUCCCAGUACUUUACUAGGAUCUAGAAACCCAGGUUAGCUUGGUAAAGAUAGAUCACACCAUAAACUUAAUUAUUAUUUGGUCAUGAUUUUCACAUGUGUACAAUAAAACAGGUAUCAAGCGAACCCUUGCUUUUAUUUUUUUAUUGUUUUUAAGUCUAGAUUAUGUUUAGUAACACGUGACUUUGGACCUGGCUUUAUCAACUUAUGCUAAGUAUUUCCUUUCAACUUAUUUUUACUUACAUUUUAAACUGGCAAUUUUCCAUAUUGCUUCACCAAUGUUCUUAUUUUUGUCUAAUGUAUUAAUAUUUCCUCCAGUUCAUUAUGUCUUAAGUUAUACAUGUCUUUUAGAAGACAGUGUUGUGACUGCAAUGACAAAUUUCACUGUAGAAGCUGGGUUUCUCCCUUUCAGAAUAAGACUACAAUAAUAAAAUUUGGUAAGGUAUAAGGCAAGCACUGCAGACCAGAACCUCCAGUGGCUCAGAAGACUCGUCAAUAAAUUGACGAGGCAAACAGCAGAACAGGAGGAAAUAUUUAUAAAUCCUUAUCUGUAGGGCUUGAUAGUGCCUUGUAGGGCACUGCACUAAAAACUUCUACAAUUCAAUGAGACAGGAGUGGACAAGCCAUGAGCAGCUCUUUCCAAAGAGGACUACAAAUCAAAACCGGAAUACAUACACUGCACACCUGAUCCACUCUUUAUUCUUGUUACCUCCCUCUCAAAAAGAAGAAGAAAGAAAGAGGAAGAGGAGGAGAAGGAGGAGGAGGAGGAGAGGGGAGGGAGGUAAGGGGAGAAGGAGGAGAAAGAAGAAAGGAAGAAGGAAAACCCAAACCAAAACCAAGCAAACAAAAGACAUCUAAAAGGCAAGUACAAUUUGUGUAGCCCUUAUACUUAUGUUCAAGUUCCCCAUGGCCAGCCCCUUAAAGAAAACUGAAUCCUUUCCACUGGCACCACUUACAGAAGCCUUCAGUGCUGCGAGCUAAAGUAUCCUUUCCAUAGUUUUUAAGAGUUCUCUACGGUGCUGAGCCUGAUAUUUUUAAGAAACAUGUUUGAAUUUUUUUAACUGAUUGCAGUAUUCCUUAUUGUGCUUAGUAAUUUCUGAUUUGUGGAGUGUGGUCAGGAAAUAAGCUGUGUGGGGAACUGGCUUGUGCCUAGAGACUUAAGUAGUUCAUGUCUAUCUAUGUAUCCCCUACUGAUUUCCAUUCAUCCUGUAUUCAACCCCUUACUAUCCACUGCCAAAAGAGCAAUAUUAAAAACCUACCCCAACAUGGGUCUACCUUGUCUUUCCUUUAAAAUCUACUGGGUUUUGCUUUAUGUAUUUGCUUUAAGCCUUCUUUGUUGGUGCAGCUUAGGGUGUUUUAUCUUCCCACUUAAUUGUUCUUUUUAUCAUUAUAAAUGUACUCUUUUCCUUACAGUUCCUUAUAUCUGAUAUCAACAGAUUGCAGCUGCAUUCUCUUGAUAUUUCCGUCUCCAUAGUGGACCUGCCAGCAGUGAAAACAGGGACACAGAGGCUUUUUACUAUUGUAAAGCUCAGGCCUUAUAGCCAGGCACUCUCCCAGUCACUCUAAACUUAAUGGACUAAUCCUGGCACUACAUCCCACCACGUGGCUAGCUCUACCACUGCUUUGGUCUGUGGGCUCACCAGCUGGUAGGUUCAGCCCUCCACUUCCUGUCCAGCUCUUUACUGCAGUCAAUCAGAUACAAUUCUAGAUUGCCUCUAGGCUAGUGAGGAAGGAUGAAUGUUUACAAAAGAUGAGGCUAGAGUUGGGUCACAGAAAUAACAAUACAAAGAUCCUGCCAGCGUUUAGCUCUCUGCUGGUCCAGAAUCAACCAUUGUGAAUAUACAAAAACAGACCUUCAUGUUAUAUAUCCCAACACACUACCAUUAAUUCACUUUUAAUAUGUCUGUAUCAUUAUUUAAAACUGAGAGAGUUGUUUGUAUCUAUUGUGUAAAAUAUAUUUUGAAGUAUGUAUACAAAUUGUAAAAUUACCAAAUUUAAUUAACAUGAAAAUGCACAUAUAUCUUGGUGGUGAGGACAAUCUAUUCAUUCUCUAAGUAAUUUUCAACAAUAUACUAUAUAACUAGCAAUAAUCACCAUGUUAUAGAAUAGAUCUCCUGAAAUUACUCCUUUAAUGUAACUGAACUUGUAUAUUGGCUUCUGAUUAAGAAGUUCCAAUUUUAUUCUCUACCUCCUUUUUUGAGACAAGGUCUCAUCUAGUGUGGGCUGGUCUUGAACUCACUAUUGCUGAUGACCUUGAAAUCUGAUUCUUCUUCCUGAGUGCUGAUAGUAAAGCUCUGUCCCACCACAUCCAGUUUAUGUGAUGCUGAGGAUGGGGCUCAAGGCUUCAUGCAUCCUAGGCAAACACCCUAUCAACAAGGUUACAUCCAGUCUUACUUCUACCGCAUUAGCAAUUGUAAUUAAUUAAAAAUUUAUCUUGACAUAUUGUAGAUUCAUAUAGUAGGUUACAAAGAAUUCCACUGGUAAGACCAAUGGACCCCCAUGUUAACAUCUCAUACAACUAGAAUAAAAUAUCCACUAGCAAUAGAUUGGCCUUUUAUCAGUUAUAUAUGUACUUGCUUGUGUGUUCUGUAAAGAGCACAGUUUAUUUAUUCAUUAGUUCCGUCACUGUAAGACCCCUUCUGUUAGCCUUUUACAGAGGCACAGACCUUCCUUCUGCCUGUCCCUUACCACCAGCAACCAUAAAUCCAUUCUUCAUUUAAUGUUAUUUUAUAAAUGUCCCAGUGGAAUCAUGAAGUGUGUAUACUUUUGAAAUUUGGCUCUUGUUCACUGAGCAUAACAUCAUGUUUUGCCCAAGGAUGGCAUAUCAGGUCCAUGCCCUCUAACUGUUGUAUAUGCUAUGGUAUGUAAGUAUUGCAUUGCUAUGGUAUGAAACUGUUGCAUGUGCUAUAGUAUGAAAUUGUUGCAUUGCUAUGGUAUGUAAUUGUUGUAUGUUGUAACUGUGGCAUGUGCACGUCACAGCCUGUUUAGCCAUUCACUUGGUGAGUGACAUUUGUAUAGUUUCCAUUUUAGAGCUGGUAUAAAUAAAGCUGCUAUGAGUGUUCGUGUAUAAAUUCAUGAAAUAAGUCUUAAUUUCUCUGGGAUAAAUGCCCAAAAAUGUAAUUGCUGGGCUGUGUGGUAAGUUCAUUUUUAGCUUGGCCAGAAACUGCCAGACAGCUUUCCAGAGUGGCAGUGCCUAAGUAAUCCAGUUUCUCCAAGGAGCUAGUCAUAUGCUCUUGAUACACACUGUAUACUUCAUCAAUGCUCUCAUCAUCUGCAGCAUUAUUAACACUCUCCCUUAGUUUAACUGCAUUCUGUUCUCUGCUACCUUAUAUGUUGCUGGUACUAUGAUAGGAUAUUGUCUAGUUCAGCUUGUCUAAUCUUGUAUAUCACUCAAUUAGUCAUUGUGAUUACAUUUCAAAUAGAAUUCAUUUUUAGAAGUUUUAGGUUCAUAAGGAAAAUUGAGCAGAAACCACCAAGUUCGCCCAUGUGCUCCUUACUCCAGUAACAUAUAUUUUACUUCAUCAUCUGUGUCCUCCACAAACACAAAUGCACAUUUGUCACAUUUCAUGAAUCUACAUUGACAAAUCAUUGUCCUUGGAAUUCAUACUUUCUUUUAAGGCUAACUCUUAUUUAUGUCAUUGCUUCCCUUUCAUAGAUUUCAGAAAAUUAUAGUAUGUGUUAGAUCAUGGUGCUGCUUUUAAAAGUCUCAGAGGGCAGAUUCCACAGCCUGAAACAAAUUAGGCCCCCACCCUGCAGCUCUCUCCUUGAGACAUUAAGAAGCUAUUCCGUGCAGUGAAUUUUGUGCUCAUAAUUUAUGGCUCUAACCAGUUCCUGGCUCCCCCAUCCCCCUUGUCAGGGAGGCUAUCCCAAACAUAACUGCAUGGUAUAAAAUAUUCUGCCAGCUCCCUCUACCAAUUUAUACAAGUCAGACCUCCUGCAAAUGGCUCUUUUCUCUGUCUCCACCACCCAUCACCCUGCAUUUGACGGCUGCCAUUAUUACUUUAAGCUACUCCUCUAACCAAGCCCUCUUCAUGUUUUAAAGGGGAGCCUCUUCCCUUCUUCGUGCUCUUUCUGACACAUAGUACUUCUCUUCUGCUUCAGGACCUGAUUGUAGUCUGGAAGCUCCUUGUGACAAAGCAUAGUUCUGGAACAAUUAUGUCUCAGCUCCUUCCAGGACCAACAGUCUUUUUUUUUUCAUUUUUAUGGGAUAUUUUCUUUAUCUACAUUACAAAUAUUAUCACCCUUUCCGGUUUCCCCUUCAGAAACACCCUAUAUCAUCCC